CAGCCGCCGCGGUAAUACGGAGGGGGCUAGCGUUGUCCGGAAUUACUGGGCGUAAAGCGCACGUAGGCGGCUUGGUAAGUUAGAGGUGAAAGCCCGGAGCUCAACUCCGGAAUUGCCUUUAAGACUGCCGAGCUAGUAGGUGAGAGAGGUAAGUGGAAUUCCGAGUGUAGAGGUGAAAUUCGUAGAUAUUCGGAAGAACACCAGUGGCGAAGGCGGCUUACUGGCUCAUUCUAGACGCUGAGGUGCGAAAGCGUGGGGAGCAAACAGGAUUAGAUACCCGGGUAGUCCCUGUCUCUUAUAC
rnacentral:rRNA from 1 species